UACGUAGGGGGCGAGCGUUACCCGGAAUCACUGGGCGUAAAGGGAGCGUAGGUGGCCUGACAUGUCGACUGUGAAAACCCGGAGCUCAACUCCGGACUUGCAGUUGAAACUGCCAGGCUUGAGGACGGUAGAGGAAGACGGAACUGCCAGUGUAGGGGUAAAAUCCUUAGAUAUUGGCAGGAACGCCGGUGACGAAGGUGGUUUUCUGGGCCGGUUCUGACACUGAUGCUCGAAAGCCAGGGGAGCGAACGGGAUUAGAUACCCCGGUAGUCCCUGAGCGGGCUGGCAA
rnacentral:rRNA from 1 species